UUUGCUACAACAGUUCUAUGGUCACAUGUUAUUUUUGUUUAUAUUUUUUCAUGAUAAUGUGACAAGUCAAAAGAUAAUUAUUUAUUAAUUGUUAUUAAUUAAUGUGACGAUUUAAACUAUGAUCAUAAUAUAAUAAAUUGAUAAAACUAUCAAUAAGUCUGCAUUUAAAACACGAAAAAUGGUACAAAAAUGUAUUGUUUUCGAAUGUCAAACAUUAAAGGCAAAUAAAAAUGGUAUUUCUAUUUUUUCUGUACCAAAGGAUCCUAAACUUUU
rnacentral:lncRNA from 1 species